rnacentral:misc_RNA from 1 species
AAGUCGUAACAAGGUUUCCGUAGGUGAACCUGCGGAAGGAUCAUUAUCAAACAUUUAAACCUAAAAAAAACAACCAUAGAAUAAUCGUUUUAACUCUUUAAAAUUAAAAAACAAACACAACUUUAUAUAUCUUAAAUGAUUUAAACCUUAAAAAAGUUUAAAUGGAAAAAGCUUUUAACAAUGGAUACCUUGGUUCCU